rnacentral:rRNA from 2 species
UUCCGGUUGAUCCUGCCGGACCUGACUGCUAUCGGAUUGAUACUAAGCCAUGCGAGUCUUUGUAGUAAUACAAGGCAGACGGCUCAGUAACGCGUAGUCAACCUACCCUAUGGACGGGAAUAAUCUCGGGAAACUGAGGAUAAUACCCGGCGUACCAUCAUUCCUGGAAUGGUUGGUGGUUAAAAUGAUUCGUCGCCGUAGGAUGGGACUGCGACCUAUCAGCUUGUUGGUGGGGUAAAGGCCCACCAAGGCGAUUACAGGUACGGGCUCCGAGAGGAGAAGCCUGGAGAUGGGUACUGAGACACGGACCCAGGCCCUAUGGGGCGCAGCAGGCGAGAAAACUUUGCAAUGUGCGAAAGCACGACAAGGUUAAUCCGAGUGAUUUCUGCUAAAGGAAUCUUUUGCCAGUUCUAAAAAUACUAGUGAAUAAGGGGUGGGCAAGUUCUGGUGUCAGCCGCCGCGGUAAAACCAGCACCUCAAGUGGUCAGGAGGAUUAUUGGGCCUAAAGCAUCCGUAGCCUGCUCUGUAAGUUUUCGGUUAAAUCUAUAUGCUCAACGUAUAGGCCGCCGAAAAUACUGCAGUGCUAGGAAGUGGGAGAGGUAGACGGUACUUGGUAGGAAGGGGUAAAAUCCUUUGAUCUAUCGAUGACCACCUGUGGCGAAAGGCGGUCUACCAGAACACGUUCGACGGUGAGGGAUGAAAGCUGGGGGAGCAAACCGGAUUAGAUACCCGGGUAGUCCCAGCUGUAAACGAUGCAGACUCGAUGAUGCAUUGGCAUAU